UAUCCUUUGUUGCCAGCGGUCCGGCCGGGAACUCAAAGGAGACUGCCAGUGAUAAACUGGAGGAAGGUGGGGAUGACGUCAAGUCAUCAUGGCCCUUACGACCAGGGCUACACACGUGCUACAAUGGCGCAUACAAAGAGAAGCGACCUCGCGAGAGCAAGCGGACCUCAUAAAGUGCGUCGUAGUCCGGAUUGGAGUCUGCAACUCGACUCCAUGAAGUCGGAAUCGCUAGUAAUCGUGGAUCAGAAUGCCACGGUGAAUACGUUCCCGGGCCUUGUACACACCGCCCGUCACACCAUGGGAGUGGGUUGCAAAAGAAGUAGGUAGCUUAACCUUCGGGAGGGCGCUUACCACUUUGUGAUUCAUGACUGGGGUGAAGUCGUAACAAGGUAACCGUAGGGGAACCUGCGGUUGGAUCACCUCCUUACCUUAAAGAA
rnacentral:rRNA from 1 species